GUGACGUGAAGUUCUGAAAAUGUGACCUGUGACAGUGACAUAAGCAACUGCCUUGUAUGUCACAACCAGGAGGAGUCUGUGACGAUGAAGACAGGAAGAAAGAGAUUGUGUUAGGGUGAAUGAUGAUAUGAUGUAAGAUAGUUCUCCAGAGAUAAUACAAGUUAUUCAAACCAAUGGACAAGUAAAAGAAGAAAAAAAAAGUGACCCAAAUUCUGCUACCCAGAGGCUACCUUCAGUGCCUCUCUUCUAAUGCAUAGAAUGUCAGAAGUGACUUCAAAGACCAGGUCAGAAAGGGCAUUGUGAUUUCCUCUCUGCCCCUCUAUUAGAUCCCUCACUUUGGGAGAAGUCGGCUGCCAUGCAUGAAGACACUGGAGCAGCCCUAUGGAGGCUAGCAUUAACUUGCAGGGUGUGAGUGAGCUACCUUAGAAGUGAAUCCUCUGGCCCUGGUAAACACCUUGACUGCAACCUUAUAAGAACCCCUGAGCCAGAACCACCCAACCAAGGCACUCCUGGAUUCCUGACCUACACUAAUGAGUGUGAAAGAUAACAAAUAUUUAUGGUUUUAAGCCACUAGUUUUUGGUAUAAUUUGCUCCACAGCAAUAGAUAAUGAAUUCAUGCUGGUAAGUAGAAACGAAAUCAUGAGAAAAGUGUUAAGGAAGAGCAAAUGGUAGGAAAGAAAGUGUACCCAAAAGAGGGGAAGUAGGAAUGCAUGUUAAAAUAAUAAUGAGAUCCUACUUCUCACCCGAUA